AUUGAACGCUGGCGGCAGGCCUAACACAUGCAAGUCGAACGGUAACAGGAAGAAGCUUGCUUCUUUGCUGACGAGUGGCGGACGGGUGAGUAAUGUCUGGGAAACUGCCUGAUGGAGGGGGAUAACUACUGGAAACGGUAGCUAAUACCGCAUAACGUCGCAAGACCAAAAAGGGGGACCUUCGGGCCUCUUGCCAUCGGAUGUGCCCAGAUGGGAUUAGCUAGUAGGUGGGGUAACGGCUCACCUAGGCGACGAUCCCUAGCUGGUCUGAGAGGAUGACCAGCCACACUGGAGCUGAGACACGGUCCAGACUCCUACGGGAGGCAGCAGUGGGGAAUAUUGCACAAUGGGCGCAAGCCUGAUGCAGCCAUGCCGCGUGUAUGAAGAAGGCCUUCGGGUUGUAAAGUACUUUCAGCGGGGAGGAAGGGAGUAAAGUUAAUACCUUUGCUCAUUGACGUUACCCGCAGAAGAAGCACCGGCGAACUCCGU
rnacentral:rRNA from 1 species